UACGGGGGGGGCAAGCGUUGUUCGGAAUUACUGGGCGUAAAGGGCUCGUAGGUGGCCAACUAAGUCAGACGUGAAAUCCCUCGGCUUAACCGGGGAACUGCGUCUGAUACUGGAUGGCUUGAGUUUGGGAGAGGGAUGCGGAAUUCCAGGUGUAGCGGUGAAAUGCGUAGAUAUCUGGAGGAACACCUGUGGUGUAGACAGCUUUCUGGACCACAAGCUGACGCUGAGACACGAAAGCGUGGGUAGCAAACAGG
rnacentral:rRNA from 1 species